GCAGACUUGGAAAUACAUGACUCUAACAAAAUGUUACUUGAAUAAGGACUAUUUUUUUAAACCUAAAUUAAAUUACCAGAAUUUUAUUUAGUCAUGGAAUGACUGACUAUUUUUCUGAAGAUAAUCUACUAGAGAACCAAAGUUGAGUAUGAUACUGAAAAGAAAAAAAAAAAAAAUAAACGAAGCCUAUAGGUCACAAGAGUAAUGUCUAAAAUGCAACAGAGACUGGAAGACUGAAGCUUUCAAGACUAAUGGAGAGACUUGAUGACAUCUGGGAAUCUAACAAGAUUUCUUAAUUUGCUGGUUAUGGUGGUCCUCUGACUAUCUCCCUUGGAAAUACCUAUAUCUUACUGGAAACAAAGUAUUCUCACAUCA